rnacentral:rRNA from 1 species
UACGUAGGGUGCAAGCGUUGUUCGGAAUCAUUGGGCGUAAAGCGCGUGUAGGCGGUUUGUUAAGUCGGGUGUGAAAUCCCUGGGCUCAACCGAGGAAGUGCAUUCGAAACUAACUGGCUAGAAGACGGUAGAGGAAGGUGGAAUUCCAAGUGUAGAGGUGAAAUUCGUAGAUAUUUGGAGGAAUACCGGUGGCGAAGGCGGCCGUCUGGACAGUGACUGACGCUGAGACGCGAAAGCGUGGGGAGCAAACAGG